rnacentral:rRNA from 1 species
AACGAACGCUGGCGGCAGGCUUAACACAUGCAAGUCGAGCGCCCCGCAAGGGGAGCGGCGGACGGGUGAGUAACGCGUGGGAAUCUACCCAUCUCUACGGAAUAACGCAUGGAAACGUGUGCUAAUACCGUAUACGUCCUUCGGGAGAAAGAUUUAUCGGAGAUGGAUGAGCCCGCGUUGGAUUAGCUAGUUGGUGGGGUAAAGGCCUACCAAGGCGACGAUCCAUAGCUGGUCUGAGAGGAUGAUCAGCCACACUGGGACUGGGAAACGGCCCGGACUCCUACGGGAGGCAGGAGUGGGGGAUAUUGGACAAUGGGAGCAAGCCUGAUCCAGCCAUGCCGCGUGAGUGAUGAAGGCCCUAGGGUUGUAAAGCUCUUUCACCGGUGAAGAUAAUGACGGUAACCGGAGAAGAAGCCCCGGCUAACUUCGUGCCAGCCGCCGCCGUAACAC